rnacentral:rRNA from 1 species
AUCGGAACACAGGUGCUGCAUGGCUGUCGUCAGCUCGUGUCGUGAGAUGUUGGGUUAAGUCCCGCAACGAGCGCAACCCUUGUCCCUAGUUGCUACGCAAGGGCACUCUAGGGAGACUGCCGGUGACAAACCGGAGGAAGGUGGGGAUGACGUCAAGUCCUCAUGGCCCUUAUGGGUAGGGCUUCACACGUCAUACAAUGGCCGGUACAGAGGGUUGCCAAAGCGCGAGCUGGAGCCAAUCCCCAUAAAAGCCGGUCGUAGUCCGGAUUGCAGUCUGCAACUCGACUGCAUGAAGUCGGAAUCGCUAGUAAUCGCGGAUCAGCAUGUCGCGGUGAAUACGUUCCCGGGCCUUGUACACACCGCCCGUCACACCAUGGGAGUUGGUUCUACCCGAAGGCGCUGCG